rnacentral:tRNA from 1 species
AAGAACUUAGUUAAAAAAUAACAUCAAUAUGUCAAAUUGAAAUUAAUCACUCUAUUAGUUUUUA